rnacentral:misc_RNA from 1 species
GAGAAUGCCGGCUUCCAUCAUGGAAUCGCCGCGCACUUCGAGGGCAUAGUGUUCGCCGGAUCCGAGCAUGUCGGGCGGCACGCUGAUGGUGUGGCUGCGGGUCUGCAACGCUUCGAUCGGCGUACCUGCCGCGAUCCGGCCCAUGACCGGCACGGAGACCGGGAAGCUCGCGUCCUCGUCCGGACCGGCGGAGGUGUUCGCGCGGACCUUGCCGAGGUUGCCCUCGAUGACGCUCGGAGUAAAGCCGCGGCGGGCGCCACCUGGAUUGGCACUCGUUUC